rnacentral:lncRNA from 1 species
GUGUUACAGUUUCUUACAGUGUUGAGUAGAGUUGCAUGCUGUACAGGUUUGUAGCCGAGGAGCAAUAGGUUCUGUCAUACAGCCUAGGUCUGCAGUAGGUUGUCCCAUUUAGGUUUGUGUAAGGACACUCUUUGAUGUGUACACAUGAAGAAAAUUGCCUAAUGACACAUUUCUCCAAAUGUGUGUCUGUCAUUAAGCAACAGAUGACUGAUGUGAAAUGUCAGAAUAGGCCAAUCCAUAGAGAGAUUGUCUGGGGAUGGAGUAGGAGAUGGGUAAGCAGGAAUCAGGAAGACUGCUGUAGCACAGGGUUUCUCCCCCACUUCCCACCACUUUUUUCAAUAGAGACAGGGUCUUGCUCUGUUGCCCAGGCUGAAGUGUAGUGGCAUGAUCAUGGCUCACUGCAGCCUCUAACUCCUGGGAUCCUCCCACCUCAGCCUCCCAGGUGAGUGCCACCACACCCAGCUAAUCAAAAAAAUUUUUCUAGAGGCAGGGUCUCACUAUGUUGCCCAGGCCUGCAGAGAGUUUCUUUGGGGGGCAUUGAAAAUGUUCUAAAAUUAGAUUGUGGUGAUGUAAUUCAGUGUGUCUUUGAAUGAGUUUAAGUGUCAUGUCAAGUACAAUUGUCUUAUUCAGCUUAGAUUUUUGGAAUGUUUGAAGACAAACAUUGCCGUGGAGAUCACCUGGUAGCUUUCUGAGCAGGAGGCUGUGGACUGAGGGGAGCCAUCCACUCUGCCGAGAGCUUGAGAAAAUGAAGACUGAAAACAGAGCACUGGAGGUCGUUCAUACGCAAAAAUGCUUUCCCCUCGGAAUUGUCUCCAGCUCCUUCACCUCUUGGUUGUAGGUACAGACAGCAGAGACAAGAAGAGCCUUGAAGAGGCAGCCACACAUUGUGAUGAACAUCAAAUGGAUCCACGGCUCUGCGGAGGACCCAAGACAACUUGCUUGAAUUGUUAAGACCUUGUAAGAAUGUGAACGACUCCUCAUGGCCGAGUUGCAGGCACAGCAGGCUGGGGCCGGGUGGAAACCGAGGGCCAGCAGGGCCGGAACAGCGCAUCUCCGCGGACGGCUCCCCAUAGGCCCGGCCAGCGCGGAGCCAGGAGGGUGGCGUCCAGGGGCAGUGGACGCGCACGACAGGAGGAAGCCUGGGCUCUCCUCUCUGACCUCACGCCUGCCCUCCCCGCAGAUGGGAAUGUCCUUGUCCCGCAUGAGCGGCGGAGCCGGAGGGGACCCCGGCCUCUGACUCCUGCCCGCAGCCCCCUUUCAGCUGCCAGGGUUUCUCUGCCUUAGCUGCACAUGAGAACCCCCUGGGGCCUUUGAAAAACUACGAAUGCCCUGGCACCAACCCAACCCCGUUACAUCAGCAUCUCUGAGGGAGGGGCCUGAGUGCGAACGUACAUUGUGUAAAGUUCCCAGGUGACCUAGCGCGCAGCCAGCACUGCAGACUCCGGGGCCGCCCCAGCCGCCGCCCCGCCGCGGCCCCCCACCCCACGGGCUGCCCUCUGGUUCGGUGCCUCUGCCUGAUUCUGAAGGGCUGCAUCCUCCCUUCUCCUCACCACCUAUCGCGAGCGGUGACUGUCUCUGGAGGUGUCAUUUGGGGGGCUGUAGUGGGUUGAGUGGUGGCUCUCCAGAAGACACGUCCAUGUCCGGGAACCUAAUUUGUAAAGAGGGUUUUUGAGGAUUAAAUCAAGUAAAG